UGGAAUUGUGCAGUUGGAUUGUGCUGGUAGGCACACCUUGUGGUACUGCAAAGAGGACCCCCUGCCACGUGUAUCUGUCCUACCUCGAGGCAACUCAGACUCUUACGGAGAGACCAGGACUUGAGAAGACAGGACCAUGCUAAUACAGAGCCACCAGAAGUUUUCAGAGAUGGACGUGCUGCUGUCCUUGAGAGGAACUGGAGGACGUCUCCAUUUCUGAACUUUACAACUGUUAUGCAGCUGAAAAACAUCUGGCACUACAAAGAGCAUGAAAGUGAGCUCCCACCCCACCAGCAGAAGCCAGUCACACCAGUAGAGUGGUGUACUACUGCUGCUUCAGCUGUCCAUCCUUCUGCCAGUGGCUGGAUGACUCAAGUCCCAGAAUCUUCUCAAAAAUA